rnacentral:rRNA from 1 species
GCAUAACGCGAAGAACCUUACCAGGCCUUGACAUGCAGAGAACUUUCCAGAGAUGGAUUGGUGCCUUCGGGAACUCUGACACAGGUGCUGCAUGGCUGUCGUCAGCUCGUGUCGUGAGAUGUUGGGUUAAGUCCCGUAACGAGCGCAACCCUGUCCUUAGUUACCAGCACGUUAUGGUGGGCACGUCUAAGGAGACUGCCGGUGACAAACCGGAGGAACGGUGGGGAUGACGUCAAGUCAUCGAUGGCCCUUACGGCCUGGGCUACACACGUGCUACAAUGGUCGGUACAGAGGGUUGCCAAGCCGCGAGGUGGAGCUAAUCUCACAAAACCGAUCGUAGUCCGGAUCGCAGUCUGCAACUCGACUGCGUGAAGUCGGAAUCGCUAGUAAUCGCGAAUCAGAAUGUCGCGGUGAAUACGUU